CGGCGGCGAAACGGCUGCAUUCAAUGACUUUGCUUGGUGUCUCCUUCAAUCCGAAGUCAAUCACUCAGUGAGUCAUCGUCUUCUCUCUCUCAAUCUCUCAUGGACGGUCGCCGGUACUAGCCCUAGCUCUCCCUCUGUUCUCGAAGCUCGACUGCACCAUUGAAGCUUUGUUUUGAGAAAGAUCUAUACCUUCAAAUUCUUCACCCCGAAGCAAUCAAGAGCCAACACAAGAGUUCCCUACAAGAAAGAUUAGUUUGCUAUAUCGACCAUUGGGGCUUGGUUGGUGUGAUUGUAGCAAGAUUAAAGUCUAAUUGAAUUUCUUUCUGGGUUCUAUAUUUGAUCGGUGAAGGAUUAAAGCUUUGUUUAGACGAGGCAAAACAAUUAAAGUCACUCCCAUUAUAGCCCAACAAUUUGAAGCAGGAGGUGAAUGAGAGCUUUCCAUUUGGGCGAUUGCUACCGAGACCCCAGAAUUUCGAAGAUCUGUGUUCGAGGUAGCUGAGAGCUUGGAGCUGGUAAGAAGGAAAUUAAUUGUUGUUUGAUAAAGAGUGAAAGCAUUUCGUGCUUGGGCAUUUAAUUGAAGAAAGGAACCAAGUAUAUUCUUUAGAAAACAAGUUUAAUUCCAAAUUCAAGUAGGCAUAGAGAGAUAUAACACACAACAUCAGAAAUGCUUUGUGGGAGAUUUGGCAUGCUGGUCCUAUAUGGGUUUGAGAAAGCUAAUUAACCAUCAAAAGUGCAGGCAGUCAUAUAUCUUUCUUACAUCUUUGGUUCUCGGAUUUGCUUGU